AGUAGCUUGGGAACAUGAACAGUUUCACGGCUAAGAGUUACUGCUGCCACCCUUUCCGAACUCUCUGUUGUUCCUGAACUGUUAGAAAGCACUGGAAGUCUGCUUGAUGGCAGGCAAUUUGUUAAUGAAACUGCAAUCAUUAAAAGUGUCAAGUUAGUUGCUGAGAGCCUUGCGAGGCAUAUCUAUGGUCACAAAGGAAAGAACAUUCAAAUCUUUGCAGAAAACAGCAGUUUGGCAGUUAAUCCUUCAUUCAUAAAAUCUUGGUUGGAUCUAUUGUCGCAAACACCUCGAGUGGCGCCAUUUUUAUCAAAGAAUGAUCCAUUUAUCUUGGCAUUGAAAAAGGAAUUGGAAGAUCAUACUGAUGAGGUGAAUGUGCAGCAUGAGGUUCUUGAUGGAGUGUUUACUUUCUAUGAUUCAACCAGGAAUU